rnacentral:rRNA from 1 species
AGGACGAACGCUGGCGGCGUGCUUAACACAUGCAAGUCGAACGAUGAACCAGGAGCUUGCUCUUGGGAAUUAGUGGCGAACGGGUGAGUAACACGUGAGUAACCUGCCCUUGACUCUGGGAUAACCUCCGGAAACGGAAGCUAAUACCGGAUACGAACCGUGGAGGCAUCUCCAACGGUUGGAAAGAACUUCGGUCAAGGAUGGACUCGCGGCCUAUCAGGUAGUUGGUGAGGUAAUGGCUCACCAAGCCUACGACGGGUAGCCGGCCUGAGAGGGUGACCGGCCACACUGGGACUGAGACACGGCCCAGACUCCUACGGGAGGCAGCAGUGGGGAAUAUUGCACAAUGGGCGCAAGCCUGAUGCAGCAACGCCGCGUGAGGGAUGACGGCCUUCGGGUUGUAAACCUCUUUUAGUAGGGAAGAAGCGAAAGUGACGGUACCUGCAGAAAAAGCACCGGCUAACUACGUGCCAGCAGCCGCGGUAAUACGUAGGGUGCGAGCGUUGUCCGGAAUUAUUGGGCGUAAAGAGCUCGUAGGCGGUCUGUCGCGUCUGCUGUGAAAUCCCGAGGCUCAACCUCGGGCCUGCAGUGGGUACGGGCAGACUAGAGUGCGGUAGGGGAGAAUGGAAUUCCUGGUGUAGCGGUGGAAUGCGCAGAUAUCAGGAGGAACACCGAUGGCGAAGGCAGUUCUCUGGGCCGUAACUGACGCUGAGGAGCGAAAGCGUGGGGAGCGAACAGGAUUAGAUACCCUGGUAGUCCACGCCG